UCAUCAUCGUCGUCGUCGUCAUCAGCGGCAGGCUUGGCAGCUUCCUUAGCGGGUGCAGCUCCAGCAGGAGCAGCUUGGCUUCCGAAUCUCACACCAACAGCUUUCCCAGGAAAACUUGAGGCAAGUUUUGCAGAAACAGCUUGGUACCAUUUGCUAGCAUUGGGGUAAAGAUCUGAACUGGGUUGUUCCGAAAUUGCCCCAUAUACCUUAAUAUCAUCCUUAGUCAGCUGAUCUCCAGAAAUAUAAGUUUUUCCAGAAAGAUGGUCAUUAACAGACUUAAGACCAGCUUCAGUGUGAAGAUUUGAGAAAGUUACAGCCAUUGUUGAAGAACUAGAAAAGGAGAUUUGAGAUUUGAGGCUGUAAGGUUUUGGUUGGCGA
rnacentral:misc_RNA from 1 species